rnacentral:rRNA from 1 species
GGGAGGCAGCAGUAAGGAAUAUUGGUCAAUGGACGAAGUCUGAACCAGCAUGCUGCGUGCAGAGACGACCCUAUGGGUUGUAAACUGCUUUGCAGGGGAAUAAACCUCAUUACGUGUAAUGAGCUGAAUGUACUCUGAGAAUAAGGAUCGGCUAACUCCGUGCCAGCAGCCGCGGUAAUACGGAGGAUCAAGCGUUAUCCGGAUUUAUUGGGUUUAAAGGGUGCGCAGGUGGCCUGUUAAGUCAGGGGUGAAAGACGGUAGCUCAACUAUCGCAGUGCCCUUGAUACUGAUGGGCUUGAAUGAACUAGAGGUAGGCGGAAUGUGACAAGUAGCGGUGAAAUGCAUAGAUAUGUCACAGAACACCAAUUGCGAAGGCAGCUUACUAUGGUUUUAUUGACACUGAGGCACGAAAGCGUGGGGAUCAAACAGGAUUAGAUACCCUGGUAGUCCACGCCCUAAACGAUGAAUACUCGAUGUUGGCGAUAUACGGUCAGCGUCUAAGCGAAAGCGUUAAGUAUUCCACCUGGGGAGUACGCCCGCAAGGGUGAAACUCAAAGGAAUUGACGGAGGCCCGCACAAGCGGAGGAGCAUGUGGUUUAAUUCGAUGAUACGCGAGGAACCUUACCCGGGCUUGAAAGUUAGUGAAUAAAGCAGAGACGCUUUAGUCCUUCGGGACACGAAACUAGGUGCUGCAUGGCUGUCGUCAGCUCGUGCCGUGAGGUGUUGGGUUAAGUCCCGCAACGAGCGCAACCCCUAUGUUUAGUUGCCAGCACGUUAAGGUGGGGACUCUAAACAGACUGCCUAUGCAAAUAGAGAGGAAGGAGGGGACGACGUCAAGUCAUCAUGGCCCUUACGUCCGGGGCUACACACGUGCUACAAUGGAUGGUACAGAGGGCAGCUACCUGGCAACAGGAUGCCAAUCUCACAAAGCCAUUCACAGUUCGGAUCGGGGUCUGCAACUCGACCCCGUGAAGUUGGAUUCGCUAGUAAUCGCAGAUCAGCAAUGCUGCGGUGAAUACGUUCCCGGGCCUUGUACACACCGCCCGUGCAAGCCAUGGAAGCUGGAAGUGCCUGAAGUGCGUAACCGCAAGGAGCGUCCUAGGUAAAGUACGAUGUC